rnacentral:rRNA from 1 species
CCUACGGGAGGCAGCAGUGAGGAAUAUUGGUCAAUGGGCGUGAGCCUGAACCAGCCAAGUCGCGUGAGGGAUGAAGGUUCUAUGGAUCGUAAACCUCUUUUAUAAAGGAAUAAAGUGAGGGACGUGUCCCGUUUUGUAUGUACUUUAUGAAUAAGGAUCGGCUAACUCCGUGCCAGCAGCCGCGGUAAUACGGAGGAUCCGAGCGUUAUCCGGAUUUAUUGGGUUUAAAGGGAGCGUAGGCGGGCUUUUAAGUCAGCGGUGAAAGUCUGUGGCUCAACCAUAGAAUUGCAAUUGAUACUGGGAGGCUUGAGUAUGUUUGAGGUAGGCGGAAUGCGUGGUGUAGCGGUGAAAUGCUUAGAUAUCACGAAGAACCCCGAUUGCGAAGGCAGCCUACCAAGCCAUGACUGACGCUGAUGCACGAAAGCGUGGGGAUCAAACAGGAUUAGAUACCCCUGUAGUC